UACGUAGGGCGCAAGCGUUAUCCGGAAUUAUUGGGCGUAAAGAGCUCGUAGGCGGUUUGUCGCGUCUGCCGUGAAAGUCCGGGGCUCAACUCCGGAUCUGCGGUGGGUACGGGCAGACUAGAGUGCGGUAGGGGAGACUGGAAUUCCUGGUGUAGCGGUGAAAUGCGCAGAUAUCAGGAGGAACACCGGUGGCGAAGGCGGGUCUCUGGGCCGUAACUGACGCUGAGGCGCGAAAGCUAGGGGAGCAAACGGG
rnacentral:rRNA from 1 species